ACAUGCCUACAACAUAACGUUAAUUUACUGGAUCCCAUUCGAACUCUGUAGUUAAGUGCGCUCAGGCUAGAGUAGUACUGGGAUGGGUGACCGCCCGAGAAGUCCUAGUGUUUUACAUGCC
rnacentral:rRNA from 1 species